GACCCCAUGGAGCUUUAAACCUGACAGCACCCGCUCAUUCUAUACCCCAUUAUUUGCCCGACCCCUGUCUGCUCAGUUUUAGGUUGGGGUGACCACGGAGUAUAAAAUAACCUCCAUGAAGAAGGGGAUAUUUCCCUUAUUAGAGAACCACACUUCCAAGAACUAAUAAAUUAAUUUUCAAUGACCCGAUACCCGAUAAUCGAUCAACGAACCAAGUUACCCUGGGGAUAACAGCGCAAUCCACCCUGAAAGCCCUUAUUAACAGGUGGGUUUACGACCUCGAUGUUGGAUCAGGGUAUCCCAGUGGUGCAGCAGCUACUGAGGGUUCGUUUGUUCAACGAUUAAAACCCU
rnacentral:rRNA from 2 species